UACGUAGGGUGCGAGCGUUAAUCGGAAUUACUGGGCGUAAAGCGUGCGCAGGCGGUUUUGUAAGCCAGAUGUGAAAUCCCCGGGCUUAACCUGGGAAUGGCAUUUGGGACUGCAAGGCUGGAGUGUGGCAGAGGAGACUGGAAUCCCGGUGUAGCAGUGAAAUUCGUAGAUAUCGGGGAGGAACACCUGUGGCGAAGGCGGCCCAUCUGGACAGUCACUGACACUGAGGAACGAAAGCCAGGGGAGCAAACGGGG
rnacentral:rRNA from 1 species